AAUUGACGGGGCCCUGCACAAGCGGUGGGGCACGUGGUUUAAUUCGAUGAUAAGCGAAGAACCUUACCUGGGCUUGCCAUACUAGCAGUAGGAGCCAGAGAUGGUAACGACCCCUACUUUUGGUAGGGGAACUAGUACAGGUGAUGCAUGGCUGUCGUCAGCUCGUGUCGUGGGACGUUGGGUUAAGUCCCGAAACGAGCGCAACCCCUGUUGUUAGUUGCCAGCGGGUAAUGCCGGGGACUCUGACAAGACUGCUGGUGAAUAGCCGGAGGAAGGAGGGGAUGACGUCAAGUCAUCAUGUCCCUUAUGUCCAGGGCGACACACAUGCUACAAUGGGAGGUACAAUGGGCUGCUAAACCGCAAGGUCAUGCGAAUCCCAAAAAGCCUUCCUCAGUUCGGAUUGAGGUCUGCAACCCGACCUCAUGAAGCCGGAAUCGCUAGUAAUCGCAGGUCAGCCACACUGCGGUGAAUAUGUACUCAGGGCUUGUACACACCGCCCGUCACACCAAUCGAGUAGAGGGGACCUGAAGUCGUCUUACGGGCGCCUAAGGUAACUUCUGUAAGAGGGGUG
rnacentral:rRNA from 1 species